UACACUCCUACGGGAGGCAGCAGUGGGGAAUUUUGGACAAUGGGCGAAAGCCUGAUCCAGCCAUGCCGCGUGCAGGAUGAAGGCCUUCGGGUUGUAAACUGCUUUUGUACGGAACGAAACGGCCUUUUCUAAUAAAGAGGGCUAAUGACGGUACCGUAAGAAUAAGCACCGGCUAACUACGUGCCAGCAGCCGCGGUAAUACGUAGGGUGCAAGCGUUAAUCGGAAUUACUGGGCGUAAAGCGUGCGCAGGCGGUUAUGUAAGACAGUUGUGAAAUCCCCGGGCUCAACCUGGGAACUGCAUCUGUGACUGCAUAGCUAGAGUACGGUAGAGGGGGAUGGAAUUCCGCGUGUAGCAGUGAAAUGCGUAGAUAUGCGGAGGAACACCGAUGGCGAAGGCAAUCCCCUGGACCUGUACUGACGCUCAUGCACGAAAGCGUGGGGAGCAAACAGGAUUAGAAACCCGAGUAGUCCCAUG
rnacentral:rRNA from 1 species